UACGUAGGGUGCGAGCGUUAAUCGGAAUUACUGGGCGUGAAGCGUGCGCAGGCGGUUUUGUAAGCCAGAUGUGAAAUCCCCGGGCUUAACCUGGGAAUGGCAUUUGGGACUGCAAGGCUUGAGUGCGGCAGAGGAGACUGGAAUUCCUGGUGUAGCAGUGAAAUGCGUAGAUAUCAGGAGGAACACCGAUGGCGAAGGCAGGUCUCUGGGCUGACACUGACGCUCAUGCACGAAAGCGUGGGGAGCAAACAGG
rnacentral:rRNA from 1 species